rnacentral:rRNA from 1 species
CAUUGCAGUCGAACGAAGGCUUCGGCCUUAGUGGCGCACGGGUGCGUAACGCGUGGGAAUCUGCCCUCAGGUUCGGAAUAACAGCGAGAAAUUGCUGCUAAUACCGGAUGAUAUCGCGAGAUCAAAGAUUUAUCGCCUGAGGAUGAGCCCGCGUAGGAUUAGCUAGUUGGUGUGGUAAAGGCGCACCAAGGCGACGAUCCUUAGCUGGUCUGAGAGGAUGAUCAGCCACACUGGGACUGAGACACGGCCCAGACUCCUACGGGAGGCAGCAGUGGGGAAUAUUGGACAAUGGGCGAAAGCCUGAUCCAGCAAUGCCGCGUGAGUGAUGAAGGCCUUAGGGUUGUAAAGCUCUUUUACCCGGGAUGAUAAUGACAGUACCGGGAGAAUAAGCUCCGGCUAACUCCGUGCCAGCAGCCGCGGUAAUACGGAGGGAGCUAGCGUUAUUCGGAAUUACUGGGCGUAAAGCGCACGUAGGCGGCUUUGUAAGUUAGAGGUGAAAGCCUGGAGCUCAACUCCAGAAUUGCCUUUAAGACUGCAUCGCUUGAAUCCAGGAUAGGUGAGUGGAAAUUCCGAGUGUAGAGGUGAAAUUCGUAGAUAUUCGGAAGAACACCAGUGG